GUCGAGUCGGGCAAACGCCCUCCCAGCCUUUAGCCAAUCGGAUGCCUAAAGACGAGACUAUACCUGGAGGAAGGAGGCGCGGCGCCGGAGGGGAGACGCGACCAAUGGGAAAUCACAGCGCGUCCUUGCGGCAGCCAAUAGGAGAGCAGUAAAGAGGGGGCUGCUGGCCACUGCUCUGGGGACCGGAAGUGGAGGCGGCUCGUCGCCUACUGGUAGCGCAAUUAGAGGCGGGCAUUGUAGGUUACAUGCCUAAAGCCACUUCCGGUGAUGGCCCCGCCCAGGAGGUACUUCUGAAACAGGUCCCCAGUGGCACCUCAGUUUAUCCAUUCCCGUUUUGGUUUCGCAGCUGUCAUCCGGUCCCAACGCCAGAAUAGGAGAAAAACCUGCAGGCUAAGAGAGAAGGGAGGGCUGGGCCUGAGGUUCAGUCUUGGUCAUCUCCGACUGGCGGCGCUAGGAUUUCCCCCUUCCUGUGUCUUGAUGGGUUCCUCCAACACUCACUUUGUAUCGAUAAACGACCCUGCAGUUCUUCACGACCUGCAUUGCGCUGGCAGUCCUGAGUGAAGAACUCUCCUCUCAUCCCAGAGAUGGGAAACCUGGAUCUGAGACUGCCAGCUAGCUGCGGCCUCCUAGUCUGUAAAGCGAAGGGAGACCAGGACGCUCCCAAGGACCCGGCUUAUCGCCCCUCCCUUUCCUUCCCGGGGACCCAGAACAGACCACAAGACGGAGGGUGGCCGCUGGAGGUCGCCGUGGCCCCGCGAUACCACCAACCGACAGAAAUGGAGAACAGUUGAUUCAGAUUCAGCUGAUAUUCUCAGGUCUGGAGCGGGCCUGAGCGCUUUAAUUAGCCCGGGGCUAAUGUCCUCACCCAUCUUUGUUUAUAGAACGUUGAAACUCCAGUACUGUUGCCAGGACCUUGGUAGCCCUGAGGUGUGAUGGGAGACUCUGGACAGAACCACCUGUUGACCUAUCCAGGACCCAAAUAUGCACCACAGCACCAAGAAGUUUCCGGUCCCGGUACAGAUCAGUGAGGAAGAGGCUAUUGACAAGUGUGGAUUUGCCCAGGCCAGACUCUCCUGAGAGGAGAGAGGACAGAGGCACCAAAUCAGAAGGGACCCUUCUCUGGGCUGUCUGAUAGUCUGCAGAGACACAGCUGCUUCCGUGCUCUAGGAGAGAGGGACUCCUUGGAGAUCUGAUCUCACUAGUAGUCGUAAUUCUUUGGAUGGGCUCAGUUUGUACUGCUUCAUCCUUUGGAGAAGGCUCCAGACCCUCCUUUACUCUCCCGAGAUUCUAGAAAUUCUCAGGACUCAUCCAGAGAAGGAAUCAGCCAGAAGAUCCUAUGAAGACAAGAUCAAACCAAACACGCUGUGUUCGCCCCAGUUUUAAUAAGAAAUCUGACUGAAAACAAAUGGUUGAAUGUGCUGCUAACAGAGAGGGCCAAACGAUGAUGUCUAUUGUGGCAGCUGAACAAAGUGAGACUUACAGAACUGGAACUGCUGCCCUGACAGCAACUGAAGCAGAAAGAGAAGAAAGGAGCUUACAACCAGGACACUCAAACUCAGGCCAGGAGUCCGUCUAUGAUCCAAUUCCAAUCAGUCUGACAAGUCACUCUGAUCCAGCACGAUUAUCCUAUGCACAUGUUUUUUAAAGAACAAAAAAGGAAGUUUCGAGUUGGUAUGUGUGUUUUUUAAAGACACAAACCACAUCCUCUUUCUAUUCAAUUAAAUUCAAGGGAAAGGAAUUUUGGUCUUUAUAAUCAAGGGCGAUUAUAACCAACAGUGUGUCAUGGAAAUGCAAAAUGACUACAGAGCAAUUGACAGCAGCAUCUUCUGUAUUCUCUCCAUAUUAAACCUGUUCUUUUUUUUUUUUUGAGACGGAGUCUUGCUCUUAUCCCCCAGGUGGAGUGCAAUGGCGCGACCUCGGCUCACUGCAACCUCUGCCUUCCGGGUUUAAGCGAUUGUCCUGCCUCAGCCUCCUGAGUAGCUGGGAUUACAGGUGCCUGCCACCAUGCCCGGCUAAUUUUUGUAUUUUUAGUAGAGACGGGGUUUCACCAUGUUGGCCAGGCUGGUCUCGAACUCCUGACCUCAGGUGAUCUGCCCGCCUCGGCCUCCCAAAGUGCUGGGAUUACAAGUAUGAGCCACCGUGCCUGGCCUAAAACUGUUCUUAUGCUGACUCUAUCACUUAUUGAAUCAAAGUUGGCAUUAAUUUCACUUUAUAGUUUAAUUAACUAUAAACACUAACAUUUUAAAAAUUAAGCAACUUUGUCUAAAUUGGAGUCUUUGUCAUUAAUGUGUAUUUAGACACUGGUAAAUGUUUUUAAGUCUGCUUCUGUUGUCUAUAAACAUGACUUUUGAUCUACAAACAUCUGAUAUUUCAUUACCUGGAUGAUUCGGACCAACCUAGUCGCUUCCAAAAACAGGAUUUUAGUUCAUCUUGAUGAAAUAUAAGAGGAAGGAAAAAACAACAUGAUUAAUUUCUAGGUCAAAGGGUGCCAGUAUUCAUAUUAGUGCUCCCUCUAAUUUAGAGUAGACUGUUUUACCUACAAUGGUUGUUAUAUUCUGCCAGAUAGACUCUUUCUAAAAACACAAUUAAUGGGCUUCCCCUCCUAACAUUCUAUAGUUUUCUGCCACAGCAAUGGGCGCUAAUGACACUAAUUCACAAAGUCCCUGUAUUAUCUUCUCAGUGAAAUCAAUACUAUUAAUAGCUAAAUGCCUACACGUUCUGGGCCCUGUGCAGUCAGGGUUCUGGAGGAAACAGAAUGUACCCACGGCUGGUUCAAAUAAAGAUCCUUAGUGAAGUGACUACAUACAGAGGUUUAUUUAGAGUUAAGGGAACAAACAAGGAAUGUCAAGGCAUCCAGUGAUUAGCAGCAGUGGGAAGCCUAAGUCUGAAGGAACUGAGUGUUGGAGAUGAGAGGUCAGUUACUAGACCUUAAUGAGAGCUGGAAUUGGGAAGAAUGGACUGCCUACAGAAGCCGCACUUGUGGAGAGACACCACUUCUACCAGGCACAAGGUGCUGAAGUAAGCAGUGAGGCAAAGUAAUACCCCAAAUUCUCUCUAGCCCCACUAAUCUUCUGCUGGGGCCUGUCAUUGGCAAACAGGAAGCCCAGGAGAUGCAGUCCACUAGGGUCAGCAUUCUGGGGCACAAAGCAGGGCAGAGAUGGGGAGAAUGAGAAGGAAAUCAGGAAGAGGUGAAAGGAAUACCAGAUGAUCUGAAAGAGUUAAAGUCUCUUACUUUCCUGAGUAGGAAGAACUUAAAUAUGGGAGAGCGUCAUUGUAAAGGGCAUAUCAGAAGCCUUCAAAAUCUAUCAAAAUAGUUUUAAAAUUAAGGUUAAUUUAUAAUUUUCACAUUACUUGUAGACUCCACUUAAAUUCCAUAAAAUAUGAUUUAUUACUGGAUUUUGAAGCAUCUAUGUGAGCUAAAUUUAAAACUCUUUGGAAGACGUUGGACAAUUAGAAG
rnacentral:lncRNA from 10 species